AAGUGGUUUGGUUACUUACCUGGGACAGCACCAGGAAACUCCUGGAACAACCAGCCAAAGUGGUUUUAAAGCUGAGACAGACCCUUUAGCACUGUCUGCCUGAAACUGGUGUGCACGUAGCAUUUGCAUGACAGUGAUGAAUUGGCAGAGGAGCCAGGGAGAGCAUUUUAUUACAUGACAGGAGGCUUCAUAUUUUGCUAUUUGCUCUCUUUACUGAAC